CUGAAGCGUCUCGCCAAGGAAGGGCAGUCCCAUGGUACCCGGAGGAAGAGGACUCGGACAGGUUGGAUCACUUCCACUAAUGACGUACAUUUCCCACAGUUUCAUCGCCGUCACGAUCAGAAGGAGUGGGAGCAGGAGAGUGCAAAGACAUGUUACGAAUAACGUGUAGAAACCCAUCUCGAGGAGAAGUGUAAGGAUGGACCGCAGGAGUGGACUGCUCUCCGAUAGAGUUGACCAGGGUGUUUGGUCCCAGGAUAAUCCGGGUGCUCUGGGGCCACUGCGUGCAGACCAAGUUGUGUUCUCCAAGCAAGAUUUUACGGAUGUUUUCUGCACCAGUUACCCGGAUAACAGGCUUUCCUAAAAGUGUACAGACAGCACCACAGACGGCCCCACCCGCCGUAAUUAAAACGGCCAGCCAUGUCAUAUCUCUGUUGCUGCAGUUACUGUGAGGGCAGACGAUUCUUUGGAGCUUGUGAUGGACUCGGCUUUGACUUCUCCUCCUUUCAUCUCUUAGUGGACAUUUUACUACCACUGCUUCGUACCCUCUCUGCCCUCAGUGGGCGUUUGGUCAUGGAUCAGCUUGUGUUUGAAAUGCUGCGGAAGAUUCACACAUAUUAUAGCCUUCCCCAUCAUGUUGGGUUGUAGUGAUUACCUGCCCAUAACCUGGCCCACACCCUCCUCCUGCUCUGAUGUUGAUGAAACUCCUGCAAGUCUGCACGCAAUGUCACAACAGGGAUGUCAUUAUGCUGUGCGUGAUCAUAGGUCUCCACAGAAAAGGGGGUCAGUGAAGUGACAACAGGCUUGUCAUGGUAAUAACAGCAUGACGAGGUCAUGGCUACUGUGUAAUGUAAUCAGCAUGCUAAGCCACACAGUUGCGUUUGACAUAAGAUUCACAUUUCCAGCUUAAUACCGCACCUACAUGGAAAGUCCCAAAGUGAUUGAGAGGCGAGUCCCAUCCCUGUGCUCCCUGGUGCCACUACAGUGGGCUGCUCUAUCCCC